AUGCUCCAUGAAGUCUUUUGUCUCAUCUGGAUGUUUGCACUGUCCCCAGGACGUCUGGCCUCUUACGUGGAGCAGUCUCCAUCGAUUGUGUCGAUUGCAGCAGGGGACUCGGAAGAAAUCAGCUUACAGCUAUAUGUACUGGUACCGACAGCAACCCAACCGGCCAAUAGAAGUUUUAUUCUACUCUGUUGGUGAAAAGUCAAUUACAAAUUACACAUCCGAAUCUUAUCGUGCUAAAAGGCCCAGUGAAACUCUGUUUAGUUUGGAACUGAAAGGCACCUCUCCAUCUCACACGGCUGUCUAUUUCUGUGCAUGUAGUAGUGCACAGUGUUAG